CACACCAAGAUUGGCUGCCCCUUACCAGGUGCCGCCGCAAGCAUGUGCUUGGUUGCCUGGUGCCUGGAGCCGGCCCUGAUAAAAGACAUUUAACGUCAUCCUAUUAUUCUGUCUUCACUAUGUAGGUUUCACGAUGUCCACGUUGCCAGAAAGUGGGCAAGGAAUUACAUCUUGAUAUCACCUUGAAAAGCAUAAAGGUCAGUCAUCCCUUUGAAUUGGUGGGAAUGGAUUUAAUGGGCCCAUUACCGGCAACAAAGAAGGGAUAGCAAUAUAUACUGACAGCCACAGACUAUCUUACAAAAUGGGUUUGUGCAUCUGCAAUUAGAAAUAAGUCUGCAUCUGUGGUGGCAAAGAAAAUGUACAAAUUCAUACAGCAAUAUGGAUGUUCACAGCGAAUACUGACAGAUUGUGGAUCAGAAUUCAAUAAUGAGCUUAACCGACAGAUGUGCCAAAAAUUGGGAAUACAACGGAGCUUGACCAGCCCAUACCAUCCACAAACCAAUGGACUAGCUGAAAACACAAACAAAUCCAUCAAAAGAGCACUGAGGAAGUUGGUUGAUGACAGUGCAACUAAUUGGGAUGAAUUUCUUGGUGACGUAUUUUCUUUGCGAACAAAACCAAACAUGACAACCAAAUUCUCACCCUAUCAACUACUGUAUGGCUUUGAGCCAAGAUUCCCAGACCAAGUUUCAGACAAGUA
rnacentral:lncRNA from 1 species